UACGAAGGGGGCUAGCGUUGUUCGGAAUUACUGGGCGUAAAGGGCGCGUAGGCGGAUGUUUAAGUCGGGGGUGAAAGCCCAGGGCUCAACCCUGGAAUUGCCUUCGAUACUGGACAUCUUGAGUACGGGAGAGGUGAGUGGAACUCCGAGUGUAGAGGUGAAAUUCGUAGAUAUUCGGAAGAACACCAGUGGCGAAGGCGACUCACUGGCCCGUUACUGACGCUGAUGCGCGAAAGCGUGGGGAGCAAACAGG
rnacentral:rRNA from 1 species